rnacentral:sRNA from 1 species
GGGCUCAGAGGGGCCAUGAUUCGGAGGGUUCUGCCGCACGGCUUGGGCCGGGGCCUCUUGACCCGGAAGCCAGGCACGCGCAGAGGAGGCUUUUCUCUGGGACUCUAGCGACAAGGGAAGGAGAGGAGGGGAAGACCUCAAUCUCAGGGGAUCCAACGGACAGAGAUUGUGCUUUGGACCUUGUUGAGAAAUUUUCCUAGGAUCUUCCUCAGUCGAACCGGGAAGCUUGGCAAUAAGUAUUCACAGGCCUCCACUGGGCUCUCAGUAGGUGGGAUUUGUCAGCAGUUCUCAUUGCCUGAGAACAUCCAGCUCUCCCUCUUUUCAGCCAGCUUUCUACGGAAUAUCAAUGAGUACCUGGCCGUAGUCGAUGCCCCUCCCUUGGACCUCCGGUUCAGCCCCUCAGGCUACCUCUUGCUGGCUUCAGAAAAGGAUGCUGCAGCCAUGGAGAGCAACGUGAAAGUGCAGAGGCAGGUGGGAGCCAAAAUUUCUCUGAUGUCUCCUGAUCAGCUUCGGAACAAGUUUCCCUGGAUAAACACAGAGGGAGUGGCUUUGG